UUUUAGGUGCUUGCACUUGAAAGAUUUAACAUUGAGACGAGUGGCGAACUGGUGAGUAACACGUGGGUAACCUGCCCUUGAAGUAGGGGAUAACACUUGGAAACAGGUGCUAAUACCGUAUAACAACCAAAACCACCUGGUUUUGGUUUAAAAGACGGCUUCGGCUGUCACUUUAGGAUGGACCCGCGGCGUAUUAGCUUGUUGGUAAGGUAACGGCCUACCAAGGCGAUGAUACGUAGCCGACCUGAGAGGGUAAUCGGCCACAUUGGGACUGAGACACGGCCCAAACUCCUACGGGAGGCAGCAGUAGGGAAUCUUCCACAAUGGACGAAAGUCUGAUGGAGCAACGCCGCGUGAGUGAUGAAGGGUUUCGGCUCGUAAAACUCUGUUGUUGGAGAAGAACAGGUGUCAGAGUAACUGUUGACAUCUUGACGGUAUCCAACCAGAAAGCCACGGCUAACUACGUGCCAGCAGCCGCGGUAAUACGUAGGUGGCAAGCGUUGUCCGGAUUUAUUGGGCGUAAAGCGAGCGCAGGCGGUUUUUUAGGUCUGAUGUGAAAGCCUUCGGCUUAACCGGAGAAGUGCAUCGGAAACCGGGAGACUUGAGUGCAGAAGAGGACAGUGGAACUCCAUGUGUAGCGGUGAAAUGCGUAGAUAUAUGGAAGAACACCAGUGGCGAAGGCGGCUGUCUGGUCUGUAACUGACGCUGAGGCUCGAAAGCAUGGGUAGCGAACAGGAUUAGAUACCCUGGUAGUCCAUGCCGUAAACGAUGAGUGCUAAGUGUUGGGAAGGGUUUCCGCCCCUUCAGUGCUGCAGGCUAACGCAUUAAGCACUCCGCCUGGGGGAGUACGACCGCAAGGUUGAAACUCAAAGGAAUUGACGGGGGCCCGCACAAGCGGUGGAGCAUGUGGUUUAAUUCGAUGCUACGCGAAGAACCUUACCAGGUCUUGACAUCUUCUGCCAACCUAAGAGAUUAGGCGUUCCCUUCGGGGACAGAAUGACAGGUGGUGCAUGGUUGUCGUCAGCUCCUGUCGUGAAAAGUUUGGGUUAAUUCCCCCACCAACGCCACCCCUUAUUGUUAGUUGCCACCAUUCAUUUGGGCCCCUUACAAGAAUGGCGGUGAAAACCCGAGGAAGGGGGGGGGUUAAAUUCAAAAAAUAUUGCCCCUUUUAACUGGGGGUAACACCUGGUUCAAUGGAA
rnacentral:rRNA from 1 species